UACAGGGGGGGCAAGCGUUGUUCGGAAUUACUGGGCGUAAAGGGUUCGUAGGUGGCCACCUAAGUCAGACGUGAAAUCCCUCAGCUUAACUGGGGAACUGCGUCUGAUACUGGGUGGCUUGAGUGCAGGAGAGGAAUGCGGAAUUCCAGGUGUAGCGGUGAAAUGCGUAGAUAUCUGGAGGAACACCGGUGGCGAAGGCGGCAUCCUGGACCGGUAUUGACGCUGAGGAGCGAAAGCCAGGGGAGCAAACGGG
rnacentral:rRNA from 1 species